GAUCACUCGACAACCAUACAUUUGCAGGCUAAGAGUCAAAACAUGACCAAAAAGGUUGCCAGCCAGUUCUCUUCUCUGCGAAGGAAGUCCAUGUUCAAAGAACUUCUGAAUUACAUAAUUGCCAAACACAUCAGUCAUUAAAGCAAGAGCUUGGGGCAUGAUUUCUUGAUAAACCAUGUUUUUCUCAUCAAUUGUGGCUGUCUCAAGUUUUUGUUGAAUGAACCGACUCCCGUACUGGUCCGCACUGAACUCAACAACAUGUCCGGCAAUUUCUGAAAGUUCAAGACACUUAGUUUUAUUACUCUUAAACUCCUCCAGAAGAGAUGAUGCAAAGCUUUCAUCCACAUUAACUCCUCCAUCCAAGUGCCACGGUCCCAUGAUGCCCCCAGCUAAGUUCCUCAUCCCAGAAGGAAAACGCAUAUUCAGCUCAUUGUGUCUUAUUGGACUGCCAGGUCCAAUGGGAGAGUUUGGAAUAACAGGACUUGCAAGGGGACUUCCAGGAUAUGACAUGCCAACACCAAAGGCGGGAUUCCCAUAAUAGCCAUGAUGAUUAGAACCACCAGAUUGACCACCUAUUGGGACACCAUACUGUGACUUCUGAGAUGAUAAAAGCGCUCCACCAUGAGCUUUCUGUAGUUCAAGUAAAUUCAUAUAAUUACCUAAGUAGUUCCUAUCAACCGAGGGAUCAUUAAGAGCUGCAAGCUGGGCAGCAGCAUACUCAGGAGUCCUCAAGUACUGGAGAUAUAAUGGAUCAACAAAAGGUGCCUGAAGGGCACUCCCAGCCAUUGGACUACCCAUUCUUCCAAGAUUAUUUGACUCAGAGGCAGCAGCUGUUAGAUUUGCUGCAGACCCCAGUCCUCGUCCAAGCACUCUUGAGUCCAUUCCAGGAACUGCCACAGCCGAUGCUGCAGCAACAUUUUCAAACAACAUUGGUAGAUUACCAGUGGCAAGUUGGCUGGCCAUCAUAGAAGCCAAUGCUGGAUUGACAGGAUAUCCACUUAACCCAUAGUUUGAAAGAGAUGAGUUUGCAUUAUCUACAUGCUGAUACUGCAGAGGUAAGCCACCUCCACUAUUAACAGUGUUGGUCGGUGAUCCUUUCACGUAAGAAUUACCAGAAGGAAAACCAGAUUUCUGCAGCUCAACCUGCCUAUCAACUAUCAAGGAUGAAUUGUUCAGGUCUGACCCACUACCAUUGCUUUUAGCCAAAUCAGAGUAGGAAAUCUUUGCUGAUUGAGCAAGAGAAGGCAUAUGUAAAUGUCUAGAUUCAGCCUUCUUUAGGUAUGCAUUUUGCUUCACAUGAUUCUGACCUCCUUUGAGACCAAAGAUAUCAACAUCCUCUUGGUUUUCUUCAUCAACCACACCAUUUGUUGACAAGUUCAUGCCAGACAAAGCAGCUGCCAAAUCUGUAGACUCACCUAUGUAAGAUGUAACACCAUUAAAUGAGUUUGAACCACUAUUACCUCUCUUUUCAGAUGCAGAAGCCCUCCCCUGCCCAAUGGGGGUAGGGCAAGGACUAGGGACCCUAGCAACAAGUUGGGAAUCAGGAGUAGUACUUCUAGACAAGGAAGAACCUACAACGGCAGCAUAAGAAUAAGAUGAAGGUGGCCCAAUAUUAUGGACAGCAGAUGAGCCCUGACCAUUUGAACCCGAUCGUCGAGCAUCUGUAGAUGACAAAUUGCGGCGCAAAUGAGCCAGCUCAGCUUCAGCUGAACCUACACUCUCAACAUUCUCAUUAACUGCAUUAGCCUGGCGAGAAGGUUGCCCUGUUACAGGGGUUGCACGCCCCAAAUCAUCCUGGGACACAAGUAGAUUGACAUAUUCGCAUCAAAGCCAAUAGGAAGCAACGAAUGCCACAACAUACAAUCCAGGGAAAUGAAAUAAUCCCAUUGAUACUAAUGCAACGAUGAAGAAAUAAAGCAGACAACACCACAGAAGUUACAUGAGAUUCACAAUCAAAAAGCAACAUAAAUUAGAAUAUUUAAGCCCAAUAGCAGAAAUAAAUCACCUGAAAGAUUUCUGCAAGGCUCUUCUGUUUACUACCAAGUCCUAAACCUAGUAAACCAAUCAGACCAUCACCACCCCACUCUGUGGAGCCACCCACCUUCUCAGUCUCAACCUCAGUUUCAUGUUUCCUUGAAUCAAAUCCUGGUGGCAUAGAGAACAUAGAUCUUCCACUCCCAUUAUCAGGCCUAUUCACUUUCCUCCUAUCACCAAUCCCACCUAAAACCGAACUCCCUCCACCCUUCAAUCUUUGUGUGAACCUCCAAUCCUCCCUGGAAAGCAAAGGAGGUGGAAGCCUAGGGUUCAAAUUCACAUUUGAGUAAUAGUACGACAGAUAAGCUGGGUCAGACCUAAGCUCCUCCUCUGACACAAGCCCAUUCCCAUUUUUGCAAUUAACAAACUCAGCAAAGGCAGCAGCAGCAGCACCGCCUCCACCACCUAGCAAGCCCCCAACUGCGGUCAAUGAACCCUCCACAGUUGGAGGCGCAGAACCACUCCUAUACAAAUUGAGCUCUCUCUCGAGAUCAUUAGGUUCUUGCCUGCGUUGCUCACGCAGCAAUAACCCUAUUUCCUUCUCCAAAUCAUCACUGAAUGAUCCGUCAUUAGUUCCUACCAUCGGCCGCCUACCCAGUUCAGAUAACAUAUUCAAAACCCCAAUUUGAUCAUCAACUAUAACAACUCAAGAACUGAUCAAUACCCGGUACCAACAAUCACAACCUAAACCCUGAAAAAUCCCAAAAUGAGAACUUUCUACGUCUAAAGCAGCUAAGCACCAUACAUACAAGUCCAAUAAAGUAACUUUAAGUAUAAAAGAUCAAAACAUUCUGCCACCUAAACUGCUACGAAAUCAAUAAUCUCAAUCCUAAACUACAAACCUCGAUUAUUAGCCACAAAAAAAAAAAAAUUAAAAUCCAAAUAUGGGUUACUCUCCCAGAAUCGAUUUCCUAAUAUAAAUUAGACAACUUUGGCGGACCAUGUUUCCAUGUAAAAGCAAGCAAUAAAACAAACAGCAACAAAAUUCUAUGAGGAGAAGUUGCUAUGAGUAAGCAAGAAAAGCCAUUGAGGUACAUCAGAGAAGAAAGAGUUGGUUCUCGCAUAAAGAGAUGGAAUGGAGAAAGCGAGAAAGAAAGAGUUUUAAUAAACGGCUGCGAUCAAUCUGGCGGCGAUGGGUUCUUGCAAGAACCCUUAGGGCUUUGUUCCAUAUCUAGCAACGAUUAAAU
rnacentral:misc_RNA from 1 species